CAUUAGCUAGUUGGUGAGGUAACGGCUCACCAAGGCUACGAUGGGUAGCUGGUCUGAGAGGAUGGUCAGCCACACUGGAACUGAGAUACGGUCCAGACUCCUACGGGGGGCAGCAGUCUAGAGGCUUCGGCAAUGGGGGAAACCCUGACCGAGCGACGCCGCGUGGAGGAUGAAGCCCUUCGGGGUGUAAACUCCUUUUGUCCGGAAAGAAGGCCCGGAUGGUGAAUCCGGGAUUGACGGUACCGGGCGAAUAAGCCACGGCUAACUCUGUGCCAGCAGCCGCGGUAAGACAGAGGUGGCAAGCGUUAUUCGGAUUUAUUGGGCGUAAAGGGCGCGUAGGCGGCCAGGUGCGUCCGGUGUGAAAACGCUACCGCUUAACGGAGCGAAUGCGCUGGAUACGAUCUGGCUUGAGUCAGGGAGAGGUGAGCGGAAUUCCUGGUGUAACGGUGGAAUGUUUAGAUAUCAGGAAGAACACCGGUGGCGAAGGCGGCUCACUGGCCCUGUACUGACGCUGAGGCGCGAAAGCGUGGGGAGCAAACGGGAUUAGAUACCCCGGUAGUCCACGCUGUAAACGGUGGAUACUAGGUGUGGGAGGUAUCGACCCCUUCCGUGCCGCAG
rnacentral:rRNA from 1 species